CCUACGGGAGGCUGCAGUGGGGAAUAUUGCGCAAUGGGCGAAAGCCUGACGCAGCGACGCCGCGUGAGGGAUGAAGGUCUUCGGAUCGUAAACCUCUGUCAGCAGGGCAGAACGGUCACUGUGCUAAUCAGCAGUGAAUUGACGGUACCUGCAAAGGAAGCACCGGCUAACUCCGUGCCAGCCGCCGCGGUAAUACGGAGGGUGCGAGCGUUAAUCGGAAUUACUGGGCGUAAAGCGCUCGUAGGCGGUAUGUCAAGUCAAGGGUGAAAUCCCCGCGCUCAACGUGGGAACUGCCUUGGAAACUGGCAAACUGGAGUGUGUGAGAGGAUAGUGGAAGUCCAGGUGUAGGAGUGAAAUCCGUAGAUAUCUGGAGGAACAUCAGUGGCGAAGGCGACUAUCUGGCACAUAACUGACGCUGAGGAGCGAAAGCGUGGGUAGCAAACAGGAUUAGAUACCCUAGUAGUC
rnacentral:rRNA from 1 species